rnacentral:rRNA from 1 species
UGGCUUGGAAGCAGCCAUUCAUUUAAAGAGUGCGUAACAGCUCACUAGUCGAGGAGUCGGGCGUGGAUAAUAAUCGGGUAUCAAGUUGUCUACCGAAGCAGUGGGAUCAUUAAUAUGAUCGGUAGGGGAGCAUUCCAGUCAGCGUCGAAGGCGUACCGUGAGGUAUUCUGGAGCGUCUGGAAAAGCAAAUGUAGGUAUAAGUAACGAUAAAGGGGGCGGGAAACCCCCUCGCCGAAAGACUAAGGUUUCCUGAUCAACGCUAAUCGGAUCAGGGUCAGUCGGGUCCUAAGGCUCAGCCGAACGGCGAUGCCGAUGGCAGAAACGGUUAAUAUUCCGUUACUACCUUCAGGAGUGACGUGGAGACGCAGUAGUGACAGUGCCGCCAUCUGACGGAAUAGAUGGUUGAAGGGUGUAGGAGUCGAUCAUGGCAGGCAAAUCCACCAUGAGAUCCGAACCUGACAGUAUGCCGCGUCCUUCGGGACAAGGCAAUAGUGCGCGUAAGCAUGCUGCCGAGAAAAUCCGCUAAACUUAAUCCUGCAGGUACCCGUACCGCAAACGGACACACGUAGUCGGGUUGAAUAUACUAAGGCGCUUGAGUGAUUCACGGUUAAGGAACUAGGCAAACUGACCCUGUAACUUCGGGAUAAAGGGUCCCUACCCUUUUAUGGGAGGGCGCAGAGAAUCGGUCCAGGCAACUGUUUAACAAAAACACAGGGCUGUGCCAAAUCGAAAGAUCCAGUAUACAGCCUGACACCUGCCCGGUGCUGGAAGGUUAAGAGGAGAUGUCAUCGAUAAGAGAAGCGUUGAAUUGAAGCCCCAGUAAACGGCGGCCGUAACUAUAACGGUCCUAAGGUAGCGAAAUUCCUUGUCGGGUAAGUUCCGACCUGCACGAAUGGUGUAAUGAUCUGGACGCUGUCUCAACCGUGAGCUCAGUGAAAUUGUAGUAUCGGUGAAGAUGCCGAUUACCCGCGAUGGGACGAAGAGACCCCGUGAACCUUUACUAUAGCUUAUCAUUGAAUCUGGGCACGUGAUGUGUAGGAUAGGUCGGAGGCUUUGAAGCAGGUACGCCAGUAUUUGUGGAGCCGCUGUUGAAAUACGACCCUUUAUUUGUUUGGAUUCUAACCCGUGGAUACGGGGACAUUGAUUGGUGGGUAGUUUGACUGGGGUGGUCGCCUCCAAAAGCGUAACGGAGGCUUCUAAAGGUGCCCUCACGACGAUUGGUAACCGUCGGCAGAGUG